AAGGAUUUAAGUUAAACAAACUCGUAGCCUUCAAAGCUUCAAAUAAAGACGAUAUUAUUCUUUAAGCCUUA
rnacentral:tRNA from 1 species